UGGGGAAUAUUGGACAAUGGGGGGAACCCUGAUCCAGCCAUGCCGCGUGUGUGAAGAAGGCCUUAUGGUUGUAAAGCACUUUAAGCGAGGAGGAGGGUACUGGUAUUAAUACUACCAGGUACUGGACGUUACUCGCAGAAUAAGCACCGGCUAACUCUGUGCCAGCAGCCGCGGUAAUACAGAGGGUGCGAGCGUUAAUCGGAUUUACUGGGCGUAAAGCGUGCGUAGGCGGCUAAUUGAGUCGGAUGUGAAAUCCCCGAGCUUAACUUGGGAAUUGCAUUCGAUACUGGUUAGCUAGAGUGUGGGAGAGGAUGGUAGAAUUCCAGGUGUAGCGGUGAAAUGCGUAGAGAUCUGGAGGAAUACCGAUGGCGAAGGCAGCCAUCUGGCCUAACACUGGCGCUGAGGUACGAAAGCAUGGGGAGCAAACAGG
rnacentral:rRNA from 1 species